UAGGCUUUAUUAUACAAAAGUUAAACUAGGGUCUCCACCAAAGGAAUUCAAUGUGCAGAUUGAUACUGGAAGUGACAUCUUGUGGGUUACUUGCAAUGCCUGCAAUGAUUGCCCCCAAUCAAGUGGAAUCGAUUGAGCUCAAUUUCUUUGACCCUGCUAGUUCGUCAACUGCGUCUCUGGUUUCUUGCUCUGACCCAAUAUGUGCUUCUGUAGUUCAAGCUGCAGCUGCAGUUUCUGAAUGCUCUUCCCAGAGUAAUCAGUGUGCUUAUUCAUUUCGGUAUGGAGAUGGAAGUGGGACAUCUGGUUAUUAUUUAACUGAUUUAAUGUAUUUUGACACAAUUAUGGGGGCUUCUUUGGUUGCUAACUCUUCCGCUCCUAUUGUUUUUGGGUGUAGCACCUAUCAAUCUGGGGACUUAACUAAGACUGAUAGAGCAAUUGAUGGGAUUAUUGGGUUUGGUCAACAGGAUCUGUCUGUCAUAUCACAACUGUCAUCACGAGGGAUUACUCCCAAGGUGUUCUCCCAUUGCUUGAAGGGAGAGGGCAAUGGUGGUGGUAUACUAGUUCUUGGUGAGAUUCUGGAUCCAAGCAUUGUCUAUAGUCCCCUUGUCCCAUCACAGCCUCAUUAUAAUUUGUACCUGCAGAGCAUUGCUGUCAAUGGCCAAUUGUUGCCUAUUGAUACUGCAGUGUUUGCAACAUCAAAUACUCGAGGAACAAUUGUUGAUUCUGGAACAACUUUGUCGUACCUGGUGGAAGAAGCUUAUGAUCCUUUUGUCAAUGCUAUAACUGCUGUUGUUUCCCAAUCUGCGGUGCCAUUCACUUCAAAAGGAAACCAGUGUUAUCGAGUACCCACCAGUAUAUCUGAGAUAUUUCCUCCCGUUGCGUUAAACUUUGCUGGUGGUGCAUCCAUGGUUUUAAGACCAGAAGACUACCUUGUACAUUAUGGUUUUGUUGAUGGUGCUGUAAUGUGGUGCAUUGGCUUUCAGAAAGUUCAGUAUCAAGGAAUAACUAUUUUAGGAGAUCUUGUUCUCAAAGAUAAGAUUUUUGUUUAUGAUCUAGCUCGCCAACGGCUCGGGUGGACUAAUUAUGAUUGUUCAACGUCCGUAAAUGUCUCCAUAACUACUGCCAAAGAUGAAUUCAUCAACGCUGGGCAGUUGAGUGUGAGCAUCUCAUCAAGAAAUGCCCUCUUCAAGUUAAUACCAAUGAGCAUUACUCUCUUUAUGCACUUCUCACUGUUCAUCGGGUUCCUCUUGUUGUAACUUAAAUCUGCUACUUGAAACCCUAUUCUUUGCCCCGACAUCUAUUGGCUUUGCUGAUUUUAUUUAUUAACAAUCAGCCAGGCAUUGUGGGUCUUGUCUCGAGCACUUCCAGCAUUGUAAAUUAUAUCGGUAGUCCAUGGUUGAGGUUUGUAGAAUGAAAUUGCAGGCAUUUGGAAGUAAAACACGGCAGUUUGUAGCGAUUGCUUUCCAGUUUAGCAAGAAUUGUACAAAUAAGGUUUAGUUUUGUAAAGCCGGUUUGUUUUUGUAAUACAUUUGUAAACUCUUUGUUUUGUUUUGUUUUUUUUUUUGAAGUUUUGCUUUUUCGGCCAAAUGCUUUACAAAUGUUUUGAAAGACAUUUUUAAUGCUGGUUUGUUCUUUGCCCAGACAUCUAUUGGCUUUGCUGAUUUUAUUUAUUAAUAUUCAGCCACGCAUUGUGGUAUGGUUCUGAUUCCCGCGAGUAGCUCUUUCCUGUGCUCAUUCUUUUCCUAACCUCAUUCUGGUUAAUUAACUGAUGAAUUGGGUCCCUUAUCGUAUUCAACUCUGACUAUAAAUUCCUCCUUUUCUUGUAUAAGGGUCUUGUCUUGAGCACUUCCAGCAUUGUUAAUUAUAUCAGUAGUACAUGAUUGAGGUUUGUAGAAUGAAAUUGCGGGCAUUUGGAGGUAAAACAUGGCAGUUUGUAGUGAUUGAUUUCCAGUUUAGCAUGAAUUGUAUAAAUAAGGUUUUAGUUUUUAUAGCUGGUUUGUUUUUGUAAGA